rnacentral:lncRNA from 1 species
UUUUUUUUUUUUUUUUUGCCAUUUUCACUCCUUUUGUCUUUGGGACCACACUUCAGAAAAACCCUUUGCCCUUGGCAUUUUCUGUGUUCCUAUUUCCAACACCAACAGCUUUUGAAUGAAAUUAUUUUAAGUAAAUUAUCACCUACUUUUAUUAUUUCACCUAUUAAGUGUUCAAAGAGAUCCUUUUUUCUAUAGUUUAUUUUUGAUGAAAGAUUCUUGAAACUCUAAAGAUGAUUAUUAAAGAGUAAAAUUUACAAACGUGACGUGUAUAAGGUAAAAACAAAGUCUGAAAUUAAAACAAUAUAUUCAAGGAUCUAGGAAUGGUUACAUCUCCAUGAAUUCUCUUGACCAUACCAUUGUUAACCAAUAUAAAUGGAAAUUAUGCCUUGACUAUGACAGCUUUAGUUAGGCUUUAACCACACCUUGAUUAAAGAAAAAGAAAAGGAAACACUUGGUUCAACUGACCAACCUUCUUGUGAGGACCAAGUAUUAGUUUGCACUGUGCUUCAAAAUGCAACGCUACCUAACGUCACUGACGACCAGUACCAGUUUGAAACAGUAUAGCACAAACUGUAACAUUUAAAAGUUUAUCUUCUUUUCCAUGUCAGAGUACAUUUGUAAGAUGAAAAAAUUCUGUAAAUAGUUACAAGCUCAUAAAUUCAUGACAGCUACACUUAAAUUGAUCUCAUAAAACAAUAUUUUUAAUGAAAUAUCCAAUAAAUCAUGUAUGACUACCUGCAAAAAAUGUUUCUUUCAGUGUCUUAAUGAAAGAGCAACUAAUUUGGCCCGAUAAAAGUUCGCAAAGAUUUCACCUUGAAAGUAAGCAUACAAGCCUGCAAUGUGAUAUCCAGAAAUGGGUAAGUGGUUAUGAUACCUUCAAGAUAUGAAUGCCUAAUCUCAAAGUGACCCUAUUUUGCCAUUGGUCCAAACAAGAGUACCCCCAAAAACCACCAUCGCCAGUAUGGCUAUUGUCUUGUUUCAAUUAAUAUAGCUGAAAUUGACCCAUUAUGGGAUGCUCCACAUUCUGAAAUGUACAAUGACAUUCGAUGCAUAACCUUCUACCAACAGUGAUGUGUCAAUAGAAAUGGUCCACAAAUGGCGGUCCAUGGCACAAGCAUAAUUUGCCAUCACCAAAGGGGAGCAGCAUAUUUAGCAUCAACAUGGAAGGAGACAAAAUACCACCUAAUCAAUAGUAUGUCACAGUAACUUCCAUUAACAAGUUCCUAUAACUUCUGUAAAGACAACAUUACCAAUGAGAUUCUGUUCCAACUUAAUUUACAUGCAGAGGUUAAACCACUCAACUUUCAAGUCAAAGCAAUGCACAGGAAGAGAAGUAUCCAGAGCCAAUUAGAUAAAAAGGGACAUACUACUAUGAUCUAAUUUUGAGUUUAAAAGCUUAUGUAUACCUGCUAAAAUCAUGUCAAAGAGAGCUUUCCACACGGUAGUUUUUCUUUCACCAAAUUUGACACUGCAUCAAGAAUGAUAGAAACAAAGGUUAUUUUCAAUGUUUCAAUAAGGAUUUCAAAAUCCAAGUAAAAUGUAUUUAGUUAUAAUUUUUUCCUACAAAUAUGCAAGCAAACAACACAUGGUUGCAACAGGAUUAUUUUCUCACGAGGACGAAAAAGCUCAAUAAUUUGUUUAUACAUAAUGUACAACCAUCACAAGCUUCUGUAUCAACACAAUCUGUUUGGGUCCCAUAGACCUUUCCUGGACAUAUGUAGAAAGUUGUAACUGUUAGUCAUUUCUAUGGUCAUAACAAUUUUAUAUCAAAUAGGCUUAUUUUGCUUAAUAAUUUGCUUUAAUUCACAUGCACAAAGUUCUCAACAUUAUUUUCCUACUCACCAAUCUUAUGCUAACUAAUUGAAUCAAACAGCAUAGGCAAUUGUUGAUGACUUAAGAUUGGAUCAAGAGGAGAAAAAGAUAAUGGUGUCAUGCUAUACUACAAAGUAGACAUUCAUUGCUCACAAUCUAUAAAGUAGUUAAUAAGUGACUAUGACUCAAGAUCAGGAAAUUGCUUCUGCAUCAAUAACAUUUAUACAGAUGGUAAUACCUGAUCACUAUAAUGCAUCAUACCUCAAGACUUAGAAUGUUAAUUGCAGCCAAUGCAAUUUCCAAAUAAUCUUUACAAGAAUGCACCAAAAUGUUUUUUUCCAAGGAAUGCAUCAAAAUGUUUACCAGAUUGUGAUACUAAACGAAAGUAAUAGCUUAACAUUCAUGCUCUAGUUACACUUUUUUUAACUAACUAUACCUGUUUUUAUGUAUACCUGUUCAUUUUCAUUCUUUCUUUUUCUUUCCCUUUAAUCUCUCACCAGUGUCUUAUAUCUACCGCUGCCACUUGACACUUCUAUCUCUCCUUUUUUGUAAUGCACCAAAAUGUUUACCAGAUUGUGAUACUAAACCAAAGUAAUAGCUUAACAUUGUGAUUUGAUGUAUACAUGUUCACUUUCAUUCUUUCUUUUUCUUUCCCUUCAAUCUCUCACCAGUGUCUUAUAUCUAAUUGUAAUGCACCAAUUAGUGUGUUUUGUCCGCUAUGCACCAUCUAAAUACCCUAAUCAUUGAAAGUCAGCAAUCGUCUAUUGGACAUCAGUUCAAAUGCAUUCAAGUCGCUUAUCGUUCCAAACAGUGGAUUUCAGACUGAAUUCCAAAUAAAGGAAUUAUACAAGCAAGAACUACAAGUGUAAGGUGUCGAUCGAAGUGUUUUUAUUUCUACCCUUAUAUCAAAGUAUAAUUUCUUCAACUGCUAACCUCCAAUAACUAUACAUCACUACAUUAGCAUUCCAUCACAGCAACCUUUUUGUUCCAAGAAUCGUCGACUAUGGCGACAAGGCAAAUGCUCUCAUCCGUCGACACCGAAAGCGAACUAUUUGGAGAUCAAAAGAGCAGGAAAAGUAAUCGUACCCGAUCGGGGCCUCCAAGGAUUCCGAUGGCCGCCUAUGUCGGCGACUGAGCACCCGAUCGAAUGGGGCUCCAUCGAUGAUGCUCUAUUCGAACCCUGAAAUCGCACCCCAAGGCGAGAAGGGGCGUUUAUACUUUCGGACGCGAUUCGAGCCACGAGACUUUCCUUGGACUCUAUAGUUACCAACACGCCUAGAUACCGCGAGGCCCAUCUCGAGCGCAUUCUGGGCCCACUCCAUCCAACCAAUUCCAGAAACAUAUCUCAGUAAGUAGGGUCAAAUUGAGGACACAUGCUGUAACGAGUGUGUUUCAGACGAAUUACGAAUUAGGCCCAAUCAAAUCAAAUCGAGAUGGAAUUUACUACUUAGGACUCACAUAGGGUGCCUGAUAGGUUAACUGGUCUAUCAACUUCGUUUAGUCUAAACUACUGACCAAAAUGUUUAAGCUGAAGUUGAUAGUAGUACACUCAUCAGACCUUUAUAAGUCAAUCUUAGUCUUGUCCAUUUUCGAUGUUGGACUAAUUAGGGAUGUUACAUUAUUAAUAUAUAUAACUUAAUUAUUUUGAAUUAGUGGUUUAGACUCAAAGAAAAUUAAAAUUUAUUUCUUAGGAUCAACGCACAGUUUCCGCAUUGGAUGCUUGCAGACUUCAGAUACUAUCCUUCAAAGCCCGAGGUCCCUAACUCCUCCUGGUGUCAGCAAUGUCUGUAGGUAGAUCAGUGCAUUCACUGUGUGUGUGUGUGUGUGCAUGCUUAAACAUCAGCAGCAGAAGAGAGCCUUGACGUAACGGUGUUAAUCCUCUUGAGUCUCAGAGAGGCAUGUCAAGUGAAUGCACGAUGAAGCCGCUUCACCUGCCAUUGUUGGGAAGGUAAGCAGCAAUAAAUGCAGCAGAGUCGUCGCAGUUACCUUAAAGAAACCCUAAUUUACUGAGCUACGUGAAAACUUAAUACUCUUCCUCAUUGCAGAAAGGAGGAGGAGUCGACUGUGGGGUACGCGCUUCACUCACUCGAGUACUCGUCUCCUGGCACUUCCAUUUGUUCUAUUGCAUGUGUCCUCAGCGUUUUGUUCUCUAUAUAAUAUGAAUCCACCGUGAUACAGUGGACAACAGGAGAUGACAAUCCUUUAUCCUUCUUACUGGAUGCCAUGAAUGCCGAGUUUGAUGGAGAAGCAGAGAAACAAGACAUUCCCAAGGAGGAGCUGCACACAAAGUGCCGUAUGUUUGGGAUCUUGCACCGAGCCAUUACCAUCCCAUUCACAUGCACUUUAAUUCAUGGAGCAGACUGCACAUCAACCUCAUUCAAUGGCCAUUCAACUUACCUCCUCCCUCCUCGUUCAUGGAGUGUCAACGUCUGGUCACUGAGCCCCAAGUUGGAGGAGCUCAACGCUGCCACAUGGGUCACCAUUAAAGCUUCUGUGUGAGGUAAAAGCAUGGUCCAGGAAGAAAAGGUCAGAUAACAUGUGGUCGAAGCUGCUGGAUGCACCAAAGCAUGCAAGAAAGAGCAGGAAGUCGAUGACAUACAUGAGUAGGUGCCAUCGUUUACACUCUCUCACUCUUCUGUCUCUCUGCAGGAGAUGAUGCCAAGUGAAGCCCUGAAGGAUGUGAGGUGCUUCACGCAUAUGAAACAACUCCAAUGUUAGGGACGAAUCCGGAUCAAACCGGCCGGUCCAGAUUUCCUCAGCCCCGGUCCAAUUAAAAUCCUUGAUUUAUUUAUUAUUAUUUAAAAAUAAUGUUUUUUUGGUACAUGAAAAAAAAUAUUUGUUUUUUUUUUCCUCAAAUAAAUCGUCCAAAACAAUGUGGAUAUGAAGGCGCAAAAAAAAACAAGAGAGAGAGAAAAAAGUUGGGUCUUAUUUGGUUUACAUUUCGCGGUAUUGUGUGUUUUUUGCCAAUUGCCGAAAAUUUUCUGGUCUCCUCGGUGUCUGGUGACGAUUCUGUCGCUGCCUCUCUAAUCUCUCCUGUUUGGAGGAUUCAUCAAAAUUGUUUCUUUUAAGCUCUGCGUUGGUACUUAUCCAUCUCUACUGUUUCCGAAUGCCAUUGUUUUCUUCUCUUCCAUGGAUGAGCUAAAUCACAACGUUUGAUCUCUCAUUUUUCUCUUUCUUCCCGUGCUUUCGUUUCUGUUUGUCCUUGUACUGUGAUCCGUAGAGUUAUCAGGAGCAUAUCUCGCACUGUUCUUUGCUAAAGCUGUUGUCUUUUUUAUUGAUUGGGAUUCGGGAGCUGCUUCUCUUGCGCCGGAAGUAAAUAACAGCGUCUCAGUUCUGUUUCCUCCGUUCUCGCCCUUUUUUCCUUUUGUUUAAUUUGUUGGUCGGUGGCAUUAGUGAAUUGAUUUAAGAGCAAAGAUGCAGUCUUUUUCUAUUUUUAUUCGGAUCUCUCAUGCCUUUUAUCGCCUUGAUUUGGUUGUCAAGCGAUUCUAUAACGCAAGAUGAUGGCUUUGGAGUCACGGAAGAUCUUACUCCUGGUUCCUGAAACCUAGGGUUCUUGAUCUCUUGAUCUUUCCAAUUUUUAGAGAAGUUUCUUCAUCUUGGUUCUCUUAAGGGUACAUUUCUUUCGAUUAAAAGAUGGAUCUUUGCCUUGUGUUUUUCGCGAUCAAAGUUCGGAUUUUUACCCCUCGUAGUAAAUUGCAUUUGUUUGCCUCUUCCAGUCUUCCCCCUUGGGAGCCUUUUGCAUCUCGAUUUCGAGUUCAUGGUUGCUAGAUUUCGGUUUCCCAGGUGGCCAACGUUACAAUGUGGAGAGGAGACCCUUUCUUUUUGUGAUCAUUCAAUCAUAUCUUGAUCUGGUAAUUUGGGUUUCACCAUUUGAUUCUGUUUUUCCUGGUACAGAUUCUUUAUUUCUUUACACAUUUGAUUCCUUCUUAUGGUAGGAUCGUUGGUUCUGCAAUUUGAGCCUAUUUCUCACAUCAAAUUGACCCCAAGAACUUUUCUUUCCCCUUAGUUUUCGAGUUCUUGAUUUACUCUGCAACAUUUUGAGUCAGUGCUUGUGGGUAGAAUUUAUUGAUGCAGCCAUAUUCAUUCACAUUAUCGUUACCUGGGUGUUCAAACACAGCUUUGGGGUUAUUCUCUUUCUUUGGCUUACAGGAUGGCAGAUUGCAGUGAAUUCAGAGCCUGGGAGGAGCUGAUUCCUGAUGCUCUAGGGCUAAUCUUCCGCAACCUCCCAUUGCAGGAGAUUUUGACUGUGGUGCCCAGGGUAUGCAAAUCUUGGUACAGGGCGGUAUCAGGGCCUUACUGCUGGCAAGAGAUCGACAUCGAGGAAUGGAGCCAGCGGUGCAAACCGGAACAGUUGGAUCAAAUGCUUCAGAUGCUUAUAACUCGAAGUGGUGGUUCCUUCCGCAGGCUUAGUGUCUCUGGGCUUCUUACUGAAUCUAUGUUUACCUUCAUUUCUGAAAAGUAAGUAGUGGUGUAGGUUGCAUUUCUACAAUUCUCUCUUCCUUGGAAUUCUUUGAAUUAGUUCAUGAGAUUGCCUGAUUUUAUAGAUCUCACAAACUUGCCAUUUUAUUUCUUUUAUGUUCACAUUGCUUCCUUAUUUGAUUAAGGACUAAUAGGAUUGGUAGAACACACUGCAAAGAUCUUAAGACGAAGUUUAUAUAGAGUCUUGAUGUUUGGUGGUGUUUAUAACUAUAUGGUUUGAAAUUUCUAAUAUUUACAUCAGAAGUGAGAAUUUUGAUAAAGACCUAUUCAUUUGUGCUGUUUCCAUGAAGUUUUCUUCGAAUUGUGGAUAUUGCAUCAUGUGAUGAGUGAAGGACCUUCAGGAUUAAUGAUACAUGUCCCUUGAAUUAAAUACUGAUGCUAUGCUCAACAGUUAGUGGCAGGAAAUAUCCAUGUAGUUGAUUCCAAGUUGCCGGAACUACGGUUAAUUAUACAGACUUGCAUGAUACACACAUCGAUAUUAAAUUAUUCAAACUUGCCUAUUGAUAUACUGCUUAUUACAUAUGAUUAUUCUGUGGAGAUUACUUCACUUGCACAAGUAUUUAUUAGGUUGUAGUUGCUUGCUAACCUACUUGAUUAACCUCAAGUAUAAAACAACUUUAUUAAAGUUUUUUAUUUACUCCUUGUUGGUAGCUCAAUUACUGUAGGAACAAUGAUCAGGUACUAAUAAAUGCAAUGGUACCAAAUUGAGGUUCUGUAUGUAGAAUCUAUUUGGUUUGCAAAUUCUGUAGUUUCUUUUUUUUUUUUCAUUAUCCAAGACGUGACCAAUAAUGUUAUUUAGGUUUGUUAAUGUUGCAUUUGAUGGCUAAACAUUUUUUGUUUGUUUUAUAUUUUUUUUCACUUUUUUUUUUGUUUUGCAAGUGCUGGUUCCCUUCAGAGAUUGGAGUUGCCAAGGAGUGAAAUAAGUGAUUCAAUAGUAGAACGAUUCGCACCGAGGUUUUCGAAUAUCACUUUCUUAGAUGUGAGUUACUGCAGAAAGAUAAGUGCUCAUGCCCUAGAAACUUUUGGAAAGAAUUGCAAGUUCCUCGUUGGGCUUCGGCGUAGGAUGCAUCCACAAGAGGUGGCAGACAAAGUCUGCCAAGACGAAGAGGCCUACGCCAUCGCAAAUACAAUGCCCAAGCUGCAUCGACUGGAGUUGGCCUACCUGCUCUUGACUACCAGAGGUGUCCUUGAGAUCCUCUCCCGGUGCAGGGAUCUUGAGUACUUGGACCUGAGAGGUUGUUGGGAUGUCAAGCUUGAUGAGAAAUACAUAAAGGAAUGGCAUCCUGGAUUGAAGGUGUUGGGACCGCAUGUCGUGGACUGCUACGAGCGGAGCUUCUGGGAAGAUUGCUCAGACUACUCCGAUUCUUCUGUAUACUCCUGGGAUUCCAUGGAUGACGGAGUCGAUAUAUAUGAUGGAGGAAGUGAUGAUGAUGGUAUUUGGGAUGAUGAUCAAGGACUAGAAGGUUUGGAAGUUCGGUUCUACGGAGGUGGUUUUAAUGAUGCAUUUGCUGCAUUUGAAUGGCCUCCAUCUCCCUGACUUGUUGGUUCUUGCUCGAAGAAACUUGAUGCUACUACUUAAGUUACUUCUCUUCCAGAGCUUUUUAGAACCACUAAAAUAUACUCUAAGAUCCUGAUCUAUAUGUCAAUGCUUUGAAGUUUCUGGUAGGCAUUUAUGUGGAGAUCAAUCUCUAAUGUUUAAACGAGGAAAUGAAUAUGUCGGAUCUCUUGUACUCUUCAAUCAAAAUGCUCAUAAAUAUAUGUUUGUACUGAUGUCAAGCUGAUAAAAGUAUCGAGGCCUCUCCAACCAUUGCAGCAAAAUUUUGGAUUCUGCGCUUUGUUGUUCCAAAAGAUGAUAUGAAUGAGAGAAUACUCACUGUAUUCUGUAUCACUUUGCUCAAUGAAUUAGCUUGUGCUGCACAAGAACUAAACCUAUUUCCAUGAUAGCUAUGCAUUAAUAAUGCUGGUUCUUCAGUAUCUUGAUAGUGAUGUACCUUUAUUUUCUUCAAGGAUUCUGAGUUGGCCUUGAAGUUUCCCUUUGAUGGGCCAAUCAUGGAUGUCUGGUGCUUAUAUCAACUUGUUAUUCUUAAUUAUGUGAUGAGGAUGUUGCAGCAACUGAAUUAAGUGAUCUCAAUGGCAAUGAAGGGACCAGUUUUGAUGCCCUUGUUACUUCUUUUUAUCUCAAGACAAGUGGUUUAGAGAUGAUGUUUAGCUUAUAUUAGCUUCAGAUGAGCUGUAGCCUUCUAUUAGAAUUCUAUUCCUGGUGUGGCAUAUGCCAUAUGUUGGCAACUGGCAACAUCUGAUGAUGCCUGGUACAUUAUCAAUGGAGCACAACCUUAUUUGUCAUUUACCAUAUUAUGGAUAUUAUUGAGACAUUUGAAGAUUACAUCAAAGAAUUAUAAUAAAUUGAAUGCUUUUGAUAUUACCUGAGAAAUUGACUUACAAAGAACUAAGAUUCUUGUUGUUGUUUUUGUUGUUGCAUGCAGAGAUUGAAUUUGCAUGGGAAACAGUUUGAUGUUGAUUUGGUUGGCAGAAAACAAACAUUCGGUCUUGUCAUUUGAUGUGUAUUUGAUCAAAUUAAAGCCAUGAAGCGUGCCAAAUAACUCCAUGCAAAGCUCAUGCUUUCUCGAUCUGAAGCAAGCUACCGGUGGAAGGAACUGCGGGGUCUAAAGAACAGGAAGAAAUAUCUGAGGUUUACUUAGCCACAACACUUCCAGUAUCCAACCUCAUGUUUCGACCUCAUUCUCAAAAUGUCAAUCUAUACACAGUGGAGUUAGAUUUCCUCUGUACAAAACACUCGGUAUCUGUCAGCAGGAAUCCAAGUCGAAGAGGAGCUCAGGACCGAGGUAUGGAGCUCCGGCGACACGGAGAUCGUCGGGCGUGUCUAUCUCCUCCAGCACCACAAAUCCUACACCACGGAAUCUAAUCAUAUCUUAUCCAAAUUAAACAUAUAAUCUAACAACAAGAGCAUGUUCUCGAUGGUUCAGUAAGCGCAGACCAGCACUCACUCACUCACCGGGAAGAGGAGGUAUGGGGAUGUCAACGUAGUAGGUUGAUGGCCUUCCUUGCUCCUCCGAGUAUGGUGGAGCCAAGACAUCCAGUAUGGCACAAGGAGUCAAGGCAAUCAGAGAAUGUAUGUUGCCACCACUCCUUGGGAACAAAACCGAUGCCUUGGAUGAGGCUUGGAGGACAGAAUCAUCAGCUACAACCUUUGCUAACCCACCUAUUAUCCAACAAAAGAAAGGAUGUUAAUCUUAAGAUUACAGAGAACCACUGAGACAGAUAUGGAGAUGCAUAAACAGAAAGUGCUGUGAAUUGUCAUUAUACAUUUAACUUGUUUAUCUUGACUGAGGCACAUACAAAUAACUACUGCUGUUCUCCAAGAAAGAACUUAGAACAAAGUUCAAUUGAAGAUUGUAUGGUAAUAUAUGGUCUAAGAUUACGUCUUUGACAUUCCUCAGAGCCUUGUUUGGUCAAACAUUGUCUGAAUUAGAGCCAACAAAUGCAAAUCUCAUUUACUUGCAUUCGGUGGUUUCAUCUUUAGUUGAUUCCAAUAGCAAACGAGCGAAUUCAGGAAAAACAUCAGUGCAGUUUCUAAUCACACUCUCUCCAUAAGCUUCUUUUUCUUAUGGCAUCAGUUUACCCUGUUCUGGGAAACAUACAUAUUCCGAGGUUAAAGUUCUUCCCGGCCACUGUUCAGCAUGCAUAAAGAAAGGGCUAAGAAUCGCAAGGGUGCUUACUUCUUUUAGGGUUGGAGAUUGGGGUGGUGACCCAGUCAUAGGACUUGAGUGCUAUGGAACCAUACAACACUUUGGUGAGGACGACCAUCCUUGGAUGAUCAUGCAGAGGCAGCCUUGCACCAGCUGGGAAGCAGAACACUCCUAUCUAACCAGCCAAAGAUCAGUUAGUGAAGCGAAUCCAUGUCAGAUCCGACAUAAGAAUCUUACAAUUAGUUCGCAUUGUUUCAGUGACAUGCAUCGGUUUCUCAAAAUAGUAGAGUUGUAGAGGGAGACAUUAAGUACCGAGAAGUCCUCGCAUUCAUGGAUGUGUAUGUACGUUAUCUGCUUUAUCGCGUGCCCCAAGAUCAGUCCAUGGCUGCCGCCGGCGCCGCCGCCGCUUCUCCCACUCGAAACGCUUCCUUCUGAUGUUUCAUCUGACGUCGUCGAAGCUCGUGAUCUUUCAUCUCCAGAUCCGUCGCUUGCAGAAUCCACAGCCUCAUCCCCAGAUCCAUCAAUGGCGACACAGCUCGUGCUCUCAUCCCCGGAUGAACCAUCGAUUCCCACGUCGGCCGGUUCCAUGGCAUCUGCGUUCGAAGCAAGAAGAUGAAGUAUGUGAUAACAGUAGCAUGCAGCGAGCGCACGCACAUCAGGAUCGGCGGAGAGUGCGUUACCAAGGAUGCCUUGGAGCCAUCCGAGCUGCCUCGGAGUGGGAAGUUCUGCCCUCCCGGAGGAGAAGACCAUGUCACAGGCAUCAUACAGCCGCUGCAUCUUGCUGCCUUCAGCUUCCAUGGGCUGCGCGGCCAUGGCCGAGAGCGGAGAGGCAGCAGCCUUAUAGUAAUGGGUGCGAAUAGGAUGAUCCGACUUCAACCUGCCGUCAGAGUAACGUCUGUGUAUAUAUAGAUUGCAAUCUCCUGGUGGUUGGAAGUCCCACCGGAGGAGGCUUUACCACCCUUGCACACGUUUAGGAAACCAUGGGCUCCCACAACUUCACAAGGGAGCUUUCUCUUUCUCCCACCACCCUCUCCCUGUUUUCCUGUUGCAUGCUUAUCCUCUUGCACGCACCGCACGCGCCUGUUCAUGGUAAUAAACAAAACGUGCGAGCACCGGGUUCAGGUGCUGCUCCUGAUUCCCACCACCUCCUCGUGCAUAAUAUCUCUAGUGCUAUGUUCGUAUACAGAUAGUUGUACGUAUCAUUCAAAUAGAUAUUGGAAAAAGUAGAAAUCGUUAUCGUCACCCGGUGGUGCUGAUAAACCGACAAGGAGGGAGAGGAACGGGUGGCAGCAAAUCCAAGCCGUCACAGAUCGAAAUGGAAACAGCGGCAGAAUACAAGCGGUCGCCAAUGGUGGGCCAGCCUCUUUCUGCGCCGCCCGAUGGUCUACCCCUGCUUCGGCCGCGACAGGCACCAGCCUUUUUUAUAUCUUCUCAUCAUUGCGUGAGCGGCAUUCUUCUCAUCGUACUAGACGUGGAUUCGUGCGAGGACUAUGAAGCUCCCUCUGUAGAUUGGUGUGGAGGGGAUCUUCGUGUCUAUGCUUUAAGAACUGCGCAGGGGCGCAAUGACUCCAUCAUGUCUCUUCCCCACCACUUGAUAGCUUAUGUGUUGAACUACAGUGCUCGAAUGCUCCACCAGAUCACUGACGGCGACCACCAAGCCAUUUAUGAGGGUCGGAAAGAGAAGCCUGGGUCCCUCUGUAGUGUUCCAUCGAAGUGGUGGGCCACCCUUCCCUGCGCUCCUGGUAUUGGGUGAACUCACGAGAUGGAAAGACUGCAUCACAUUAUUACAAGUCAGCCCUCUCUCUCUUUCUUAUGGUGGGUCACGGGAGAAUGACCGACGGGAGAGUUAUCGGGGGCCCCUUUCGGGGUCUCGGAAGUAGUUCAUCCUCCAACCGGGAUCUGCCACGUCGGAGUGGCAAGUGAAAGCAAUCCAUCAAUGUCGUGAUCUCGUUAUUCAUUGCCCGUUGUUGUCAUGCUUUAACUUGGCGUGAUGGGAUAGGGUGGCAGAAGGUCAACCAAGGAGUUGACCUGGGAAAAACUGGGUGCCCAUGAAAGGAAAACGUUGUCAACAAUAAAUUUCUGAUGGAACAAUUUAUUUUCUUAUCAAUCGAUUGAUUGAAUUUAUUAAAGAUAUAUAUAUUUAUUUAUUUAUAUGUUCUGCUUCACAAUGGGAUCAUUUGGGUGGACAGUGAUUUGUCCAGAAAAAAGAUAGCUAAUAGACUGUUAUGUAUAGGAAAAGUUCCAAUUCACGUAAUUACAGCAAAUUAAAUGAAAGCAAUAAAAGAAAUCGAGUCCGCAACGCAACAACUCCCACAUAAUGAUAUUUCCUGUGUCACGUGACCUGUCCGAUGGUACGACACAUUGCGCAUCACAAUGAUCAUAACAGUGAUUCGGCCCACUGAUUUCAGAUGCAAGAAACCAGGCAGAAAAAAUUGUGCACAACAGAUGCAGCUUUCGAAGGCAGAUCACAAGUCACAAUGACAUAAGAUCAAACAGCUACUGGGCAGGAAGGUUUCAGAUAAAUGAAGAAAGAAACAUCAUUCACCAGUAUGAACAGAUCAGUAGUAUCAGUAGAAACCAAGUAAGUCUACAAUGGAAAGGUCAGUAUUGUCGGAAAGAGUAUGCUGCACUUGACUUUUGUAUAUCCACUGCAUGAGCCCACUGAUUUAUGCAGACUAUUGAAACACAAGUUGUGAAGAGAUUCUUGCAUGAGUCGAGAUGUAAUUGGAACAAAACAUGCAAACAUAUGCAGAAGAAGUAACAACACAAUUAUUAUUGUAUAAUUCAAGAGACAAAAUCAUCUGAUAACUUAUGGCAUAACAUGCAACUUUAGAGACGUGGGUGCUAAGACAUCAAGGUGGAAAUAGCAAAGACAGUUCCAAAGUCAAAGCUAAAACUCAUAGAAUAAUGCAGAAUACAGCAAUUGUUGAAACAUAUUGUAGUAAAAGACUGAUAGUGGGUAAAGAUUGUAACACUGACCUCAGGGAGGAAAGCUUGGAUGGUGGCAGAGGGCAAUCACGUUUAAUAUAGCCACCAGUUUAAAGCCAAUGAUUGGACUUCUCUCCAACUGAAUAUAACUAUGAAAAUGAAGCAGUUGACCAAAAUCUUAAAGAUAUGACACUGAUAGAAAACACAAGUGUCACUAUAUAUGACUGCAAUAAAUUCAAACUUAAUCCUAACUAAUCUAAACCCACACUUAAGCAAAUCCAGCUGCAUCGCAACCUUUUUUACGUCGGGUAUCAAGAUGUCUCGACAACUAAAAUCUACAUACUUACCAUGUUCUACUCACGAUAAAAUUUCAUCUUAAAUAACCACACAAGGUUUCUGUGAAAUAUAAAGAAUGACCAGAGAGAAUAACAUAAUUCAGCUUGUAACCCUACAUUCAUGGACAAAAGAUCAACUUUCACUAUGUAAAAAAGCAAAGAAGAACAAGACGACUGCAGUAAUUCCUGAUACAAAAAGAAGCUCCAUAAAAAUAGCCUAAUUAAAGGUAUAACCAGACUAGAUCAUCAAAAUUGGUCCAUACAUUUACAUGUGCACACACAUGAAAAAUAAACAAAUAAUCAAAUUCGAGAAAACAACAGAUUGCUAGAGUUAUAACUGGUCCUUGUUCUUACAAUUUUUCAACUUAGCUCCUAUAAGAAACAAGCUGAACUUAAUGCGGUUCUUACUUUUCGAUACUUGAAGAUCAUUCAAAAACUUGCAAGCUUUACAGACUUGUAUUUAUCCAAGUUCUGAAAUCAUAUAGGACAAUAGCCUCUCUAAGAACACAUGGAACAUGCAGCACAACAUUUAAUCACACCCCUUGAACUGGAAAAGAUAUAACAAUUUGACCUAAAGUUUACUUGCUAUUUCUUACAUAUGCAUAUGUUACAUUUAAAUUAGUUACAAUAUAAUGCUUCUUGUUAGCGGAAGUAUAAAUAUCUCAUCUGCAUACAAGCUAGUCUUUGAAAGAUGUGCCUCUACUACAAGGACAAGUUAGCAUAAUGACUAAACAUUUUCAUAUGAAAACCUAUCCUCUCAAGCUCAGAAAGAAUUUUAUCAAUAUCCGGAUGUGAUGCAUCUCCUACCGAAAACAAAUGAACCUUGUCAGCAAUCUGAAUCCAACUGUAUCCGGGUUGUUUCUUGGCUCCAUUCUGUUUCAUUAAGCCUCUCACUUUAACUACUUCCCUCCACAUACCAGCUGCAGCAUAAAUAUUUGAUAGCAUCACAUACGCCCCCGACGUCCUAGAAUCCGACAGAAUUAGCUUCUUAGCAACCAAUUCUCCUAACUUAACAUGGGAGUUCAUUCGGCAGGCUGCCAGCACAGCACCCCAGGCAGAAGUCUCUGCUUCAUACGGCAUUUCUCUAAUAUACUUACAUGCUUUCUCUAAAUGUCCUGCUCGACACAGCAUAUCCACAAGGCAUGCAUAAUGUUCAGCCCUUGGAUGUAUCCUGUACUUGGACAUCAUCAGAUUGAACCAAUUUAAGCACUCCUCAACUUUUGCCACAUGCCCACAUGCAGACAAGAUACUGAGGAAUGUGAUCUCAUUUGGUAUCAUGCCCUUUUCUUCCAUCUCACUGAAUAGAGAAAGAACAUUAUCAUAGUCACCAUGCUGCGAACAUGCUGCAAUAAUUGCGUUCCAGGAGACCAGAUCUCUAUUCUGAAUGUUCUGAAAGAUGAACUGUGAAUCACCAAUGCAACCACACUUGCUGUACAUAGUUAUCAAAGCAUUACAUAGUGAUACAUUCAAGAGCAAUUUAGUUUUAAUGGCAAAAGCAUGAGUUUGCUUCCCUCCUUGUAGCAAUCCCAGAGCAGAACAUGCUGUCACGACCGCAAUAAGCGUAGCAUGGUCCGGUUUCAUGCCUGUAUUUUGCAUUUGGAUAUACAGUUUCAGCACUUCCUCACCAUGCCCGUUGUGCACAUAGCCUGCAAAUAAAAAUAAAAUAACAAAGAUACAGAGAUGAGCUCAAGCAUGACUAGUUCGAACAAAUGCUACAUAAAAUAGAGGCACCAAGAAAUUGCUAGACAGUUCAUAUUCUUAAUUUCUAUAUGUUCUUUAAACAAUGUAAAUGACAUGAAAUCGACAACACUGUUAAAAAGGGUACCCAAGUACAAUCAUACAAGAAGGUAUAGAAUGAUAUACUAUGGAAAGACAUGACCUACUGUAAAGAACCAUGACAGUGGAAGUGUGCGAUAUGAAACUCGAGAAUGGGAAACCGGAUAAUUUGAAGUUUAUAGAUGAAAGAAGAAUUAAAGACACAAGAGAUCAGGAUGAGAUACUUUGAAGUCACUUGAGCAAGCUGAACGAUAUUGACACAUGCAUCAUAUGCCUGGACAAGUAUCCAAGCACUAUGUUUCACAGGUAUAACAAAUGUUGCAUUAGUUGUUCACCACAGGGAUCCUCACAUCUUCCUAGGGCGGCACUCUCUUGCUUGACUGAUAAACACUGCUCACCUAAGCCCAAAACUUAAGAGACCAUUUAUUCAAUUGCCUCUGAUCAACUAUAAGAAUUUUUCUCAGAACAAGAUUACGUUAUGAAGCGUUUUUACAAAUUAAAAAGGCCCUUUGGAAUUAUUCAAUGAAUUUUCAGAAGCCUCCAUGAAUUGUUAAAGCUCCAUUGUUAAGAUGAAUUAUGUCGGAUUUUUUUUUUCACUUAUCUUCCAGACAGUGCCUAACUUGAAAGAAAUUCAAGCUAAAAAUCUUCCAACCAUACCGGCCAUCAUCGCAUUCCAACAGAUUAGAUCCUUGUGCCUAAUCCCAUUAAAUAUGCUCCUCGCCUGCUCGACAUUCCCCUCCUUGCAGUACCCUGUGAUCAUCGCUGUGAUGGCAGCCAGGUUUUUCUCUGGCAUCCGGUCAAACAAAUACCUGGCCUCCUCGUACCUCCCAUUCUCCACGCACCCACUUAUCAUGGCAGCCCAUGAGACCGCGUUCUUCUUCGGCAUUCUAUCGAACAGAUCACGGGCCCUGUCAACCUCCCCUUUCCGCGCGAGACCAUCGACCAUCGCGGUGUAUGAGAUCACAUUCCUCGCCGGCAUCGUCUCGAACAACCUCUCGGCUUCCUCGAACCGGCCAUACUUUACGAGCCCAGAGACGAUGGCAUUCCACGAAGCGACAUUCCUGAGGGGCAUCUUUGCGAAGUAGUCGAGCGCCUCAUCGGGCCUCGCGUUUUCGAGGCAACCGGCGAUGAUGGAGUUCCAAGACACGGUGUUCCUCUGGGGCAUGGAGUCGAAGAGCCGCUUCGACCCCUCGAGGUCUGAGUUCUGCCAGUGGGCGGUAAGGAUGGCGUUCCAGGAAACGGUGUCACGGGUGGGCAUUCGGUCGAACAGUUGGCGGGCGGCAUCGAGCUGGCCGGCGCGGCCGAGGGAUCCAAUCCGGAGGUUGUGGAGAAACACACCCCUCGGGGACAUGGCAUGCGGGAGAGGUUUCGCGGAUCGGAAUAAAGCAUUGGUUUUGGAAUAGAAUGGCAGCAGAUGAUUGAAAGAUUUAAAGUAAGUGGCAUACUGCAAGAAAGAGAAAGAACAAUUACGUAGCUUUGAGGAAAGGUGGGGAGUGGCUGUUUUAAGUAUUAAGAGCCACCAACUGGUUUUUAGAGGCUAUAUUUAAAUUAGUCGAGACACUUCUCGAAUUAGGUUAAUUAUUUAUCUUUAAUAAUUUUAUACUUCUAACAAAACCUUUUUAUUUUUUAUUUUUUAUUUUUUAAACUUAACUUUUUAACCUAUCCAAACAUCUCAAUACAUCACUUUGUUAGUAUAAAGAUUCGUAAGAUAAUUACUAUAAACUCAUCUAUAAUUAACUCUCCUAGAUUUGGAGAAUACAUUUAUAUUAGUUUGACAAAAGCUUUCUUAUGUUGAAUGGAAAGCAUCAUUCUCGAUAUACAUACGCAUUCAGCGAUAGCUAAAGCAACAAUCUCGAUGCACUUAAGUAUAACAUGCAUCACAACCAGACGCCCAGCAUCUAAUAAAACAAUGAGCUAGAAAACACCUGACAUCUGAAUGCGUUUGAGAUCAUUGACGAGGCCAUAUUAAAUGCAAACAACGAACACUCGGGAUACGUCGUAUCACACAUCUAUAGAAGAGACGAUAACAUAUAGAUUCGUCUCAGUUACAGAUUGGCACACAAGAAAAACUAUCAGUCAUCAAUAACAGGAUGGAUCCAACACAGAGUCAUACUACUAUGAAACCUAGUACUACAAGUUCAGCUUGUUUUAAGCACGAGAGCAGCAUGGAUAACACAAAGUCCGACAACUGUUAACAGCUAGUGUCAUGCAUAACAGAUGAGACAAAAACAGUC